rnacentral:rRNA from 1 species
GAGUUUGAUCUUGGCUCAGAUUGAACGCUGGCGGCGUGCUUAACACAUGCAAGUCGAGCGGUAACAGGCGUAGCAAUACGUGCUGACGAGCGGCGAACGGGUGAGUAAUGCUUCGGAAUCUUCCUCGUAGUGGGGAAUAACCGUGGGGAAACUCAGGCUAAUACCGCAUACGAACUACGGUUGAAAGCAGGGGAUCGCAAGACCUUGCGCUAUGAGAUGAGCCGAAGUCGGAUUAGCUAGUUGGUGAGGUAACGGCUCACCAAGGCGACGAUCCGUAGCUGGUCUGAGAGGACGACCAGCCACACUGGGACUGAGACACGGCCCAGACUCCUACGGGAGGCAGCAGUGGGGAAUAUUGGACAAUGGGGGCAACCCUGAUCCAGCGACGCCGCGUGUGUGAAGAAGGCCUG